AAUUAGUUGCAGCCCGACUUGAGUGGAAAUCCUUUUUGCCUAAAAAAACUUUUCUUUUUUCGAUAAAUUUUGAAAGCAAAAAGAUUGGGAACGGAAGGCGGAAUUGUCU
rnacentral:sRNA from 1 species